rnacentral:rRNA from 1 species
AGCAGCCGCGGUAAUUCCAGCUCCAAUAGCGUAUAUUAAAGUUGUUGCAGUUAAAAAGCUCGUAGUUGAAUUUCGGGAUCAAAUUGUUGGUCGUGCCUUGGUACGUACUGACAUUAUUGGUUUCUCCCUUCUGAAGAACCAUGAUGUCAUUAAUUUGGUGUCAUGGGAAAUCAGGACUGUUACUUUGAAAAAAUUAGAGUGUUUAAAGCAGGCUCGCGCUUGAAUACAUUAGCAUGGAAUAAUGAAAUAGGACGUUUAAUUCUAUUUUGCUGGUUUCUAGGAUUGACGUAAUGAUUAAUAGGGAUAGUUGGGGGCAUUAGUAUUCAAUUGUCAGAGGUGAAAUUCUUGGAUUUAUUGAAGACUAACCACUGCGAAAGCAUUUGCCAAGGAUGUUUUCAU